rnacentral:rRNA from 1 species
AGAGCUUAUGGUGGAUGCCUUGGCACUGAGAGGCGAUGAAAGACGUGGUAAGCUGCGAUAAGCUACGGGGAGUGGCACACACACUUUGAUCCGUAGAUUUCUGAAUGGGGAAACCUGCCUUUAGAGGCGAUUCGCAAACGACGGGAAGUGAAACAUCUCAGUACCGUCAGGAAAAUAAAUCAAUUGAGAUUUCCAAAGUAGUGGCGAGCGAAAUGGGAACAGUCUAAACCAAAUUCAAGCAAUUGAAUUCGGGGUUGCGGGACUUGCAACAUGGUAGAUAAGGAUAGUUCAAUUACCUGGAAAGGUAAGCCAAAGAGGGUGAUAGCCCCGUGGACGAAAUUCUGAAAAAACCUAGCGAGCACCCAAGUACUGCAGGACACGUGAAAUCCUGUGGGAAUCCGGGAAGACCACUUUCCAAGACUAAAUACUACUCAGUGACCGAUAGUGAACUAGUACCGUGAGGGAAAGGUGAAAAGAACCCCGAGAGGGGAGUGAAAUAGAACCUGAAACCAUAAGUUUACAAGCAGUGGAAGCAUUUUUUAUGUGCAACCACGUACCUCUUGCAUAAUGAGUCAGCGAGUUAUUUUUGCAGGUAAGGUUAAGCCGUCAGGCGUAGCCGUAGCGAAAGCGAGUCUUAAAAGGGCGUUUAAUCUGCAGGAAUAGACCCGAAACCCGGUGAUCUAAUCAUGGCCAGGCUGAAGCGAGGGUAACACCUCGUGGAGGGCCGAACCAGUUGGUGUUGAAAAACCUUUGGAUGAGCUGUGAUUAGGGGUGAAAGGCCAAUCAAACUGGGUGAUAGCUGGUUCUCCCCGAAAUAUAUUUAGGUAUAGCCUCGAGUAAUUGUAUGAUGGAGGUAGAGCACUGAUUGGGCUAGGGGUCUUUACCAGAUUACCAAACCCACUCAAACUCCGAAUGCCAUUCAUAUCUAUCUCGGGAGACAGUCCAUGGGUGAUAAGGUCCGUGGACGAGAGGGAAAGAGCCCAGACCAUCAGCUAAGGUCCCAAAAUUUACACUAAGUGGAGAACGUUGUGGGGUUACUUUGACAACUAGGAGGUUGGCUUAGAAGCAGCAAUCCUUUAAAGAAAGCGUAAUAGCUCACUAGUCUAGUGACCCUGCGCGGAAGAUACAACGGGGCUAAGUGUAAUACCGAAGCUAUGGCUAACGUAAGUUAGGGUAGGGGAGCGUUCUGCUCUAGGAUGAAGGUUGACCGUAAGGACAGCUGGACGAAGCAGAAGUGAUCAUGCUGACAUAAGUAGCGUAUAACUUGAGUGAAAAACUCAAGCGCCGAAAACUCAAGGGUUCCUGGGCAAGGAUAAUCCUCCCAGGGUUAGUCGAGACCUAAGACGAAGCGAAUCAGCGUAGUCGAUGGAUGUACUGUUAAUAUUCAGUAACUUUGUAGUGAUCGCAUAAGGAAUGACGGAGUAGGCAAUCUCAGCCUGUUAUUUGGAUUCAGGUGUAAGCGCGUAGGUGGUUAUAUAGGCAAAUCCGUAUAACAACACUGAAACGUGAAUGCUUUCAAGUGAGACGAGCCAUGCUUCCAAGAAAAGUUUCGUAUGUUUAUCUACAAACUCGUACCGUAAACCGACUCAGGUGAGUGGGGUGAAUAUCCUAAGGCGAUAGGGUCAAUCGUAGUUAAGGAACUCGGCAACUUAACACCGUAACUUCGGAAAAAGGUGUGCCCAUAGCAAUAUGGGUCGCAGAGAAAUGGGAGUAGCGACUGUUUAUCAAAAACACAGGUAUGUGCAAAGUCUCAAGACGACGUAUACAUACUGACGCCUGCCCGGUGCUGGAAGGUUAAGAGGAUUUGUCAGCGCAAGCGAAGCAGAGAAUCGAAGCCCCAGUAAACGGCGGCCGUAACUAUAACGGUCCUAAGGUAGCGAAAUUCCUUGUCGGGUAAGUUCCGACCUGCACGAAUGGCGUAACGACUUCUCCGGUGUCUCAACUACAGGCCCUGCGAAAUUGAAUUCUCGGUGAAAAUGCCGAGUACCCGCAGAAAGACGGAAAGACCCCGUGAACCUUUACUGUAACUUGACAGUGAUUUUAGGAUGGCUAUGUGUAGCAUAGGUGGGAGACUUUGAAGCAUCCUCGCUAGAGGGUGUGGAGUCAUCAGUGAAAUACCACUCUUAGGCGUCUUGAAAUCUAACCUACCUUCGGGAGGGACACUGUCUGGCGGGCAGUUUGACUGGGGCGGUCGCCUCCUAAAAAGUAACGGAGGCGCGCGAUGGUACCCUCAGCCUGAUCGGAAACCAGGCGUCGAGUGCAUUGGUAUAAGGGUGCUUAACUGCGAGACCAACAAGUCGAGCAGGUGCGAAAGCAGGCCAAAGUGAUCCGGUGGUCCCGCGUGGAAGGGCCAUCGCUCAACGGAUAAAAGGUACUCCGGGGAUAACAGGCUUAUUCCGCCCAAGAGUCCAUAUCGACGGCGGAGUUUGGCACCUCGAUGUCGGCUCAUCACAUCCUGGGGCUGGAGCAGGUCCCAAGGGUUUAGCUGUUCGCUAAUUAAAGUGGUACGCGAGCUGGGUUCAGAACGUCGUGAGACAGUUUGGUCCUUAUCUUCUGUGGGCGUAAGAAAUUUGAGUGGAUCUGUCCUUAGUACGAGAGGACCGGGAUGGACAAACCUCUGGUGUUCCAGUUGUCACGCCAGUGGCAUGGCUGGAUAGCUAAGUUUGGAAAUGAUAACCGCUGAAAGCAUCUAAGCGGGAAGCAAACCACGAGAUUAGAUUUCUCGACUAUGUCCUAAAGACCCCUUGU